rnacentral:rRNA from 1 species
AGGGAAUCUUCCACAAUGGACGCAAGUCUGAUGGAGCAACGCCGCGUGAGUGAAGAAGGUCUUCGGAUCGUAAAGCUCUGUUGUUGGUGAAGAAGGAUAGGGGCAGUAACUGGUCUUUAUUUGACGGUAAUCAACCAGAAAGUCACGGCUAACUACGUGCCAGCAGCCGCGGUAAUACGUAGGUGGCAAGCGUUGUCCGGAUUUAUUGGGCGUAAAGCGAGCGCAGGCGGAAUGAUAAGUCUGAUGUGAAAGCCCACGGCUCAACCGUGGAACUGCAUCGGAAACUGUCAUUCUUGAGUGCAGAAGAGGAGAGUGGAACUCCAUGUGUAGCGGUGGAAUGCGUAGAUAUAUGGAAGAACACCAGUGGCGAAGGCGGCUCUCUGGUCUGCAACUGACGCUGAGGCUCGAAAGCAUGGGUAGCGAACAGGAUUAGAUACCCUGGUAGUCCAUGCCGUAAACGAUGAGCGCUAGGUGUUGGGGACUUUCCGGUUCUCAGUGCCGCAGCAAACGCAUUAAGCGCUCCGCCUGGGGAGUACGACCGCAAGGUUGAAAC